GAUGAACGCUGGCGGCGUGCCUAACACAUGCAAGUCGAGCGAAUAGACGAGGCUUUUGCUCGGCUGACGCGAGCGGCGGACGGGUGAGUCACAGGAGUAUACCUGGCCUAUAAGACUGGGAUCAGUACGGGAAAGCGGAUCCAACAUCGGAUAAGAUAGUGAACCGCAGGGUUCUUUGGAGAAAGACGGAUUUGCUGUCACUAGUAGAGGUACCCGGGCCGGUUUAGCUAGUUGGUAGGGUAACGGCCUACCAAGGCGAGGAUGCGUAGCCGAUCUGAGAGGAUGAUCGGCCACACUGGAACUGAGACACGGUCCAGACUCCUACGGGAGGCAGCAGUAGGGAAUCUUCGGCAAAGGGCGAAAGCCUGACGCAGCCACGCCGCGUGUGUGAAGAAGGUCUUCGGAUCGUAAAGCUCUGUUAGUUGGGAAGAACAGCUGUGUAAGUAAAUAUGGACGUCUUGACGGUACCUAAUCAAAAAGCACCGGCUAACUACGUG
rnacentral:rRNA from 1 species